GUAGUCCACGCCGUAAACGAUGGAUGCUAGCCGUUGGCGGGUUUACCCGUCAGUGGCGCAGCUAACGCUUUAAGCAUCCCGCCUGGGGAGUACGGUCGCAAGAUUAAAACUCAAAGGAAUUGACGGGGCCCGCACAAGCGGUGGAGCAUGUGGUUCAAUUCGACGCAACGCGAAGAACCUUACCAGCUCUUGACAUGUCUCGUAUGGAUUUCAGAGAUGAGAUCCUUCAGUUCGGCUGGCGAGAACACAGGUGCUGCAUGGCUGUCGUCAGCUCGUGUCGUGAGAUGUUGGGUUAAG
rnacentral:rRNA from 1 species